rnacentral:sRNA from 1 species
UAUUCUGCCCCACGGGGAAGGAUGAGAAGCUUCGACCAAGGUUCGACUCGAGCGAAGCGAGAGAACGUUGCCGCAGGCAACGGCCCGAAGGGCGAGGAGCGAUAGCGACGAGUU